rnacentral:rRNA from 1 species
UACGAAGGGGGCUAGCGUUGUUCGGAUUUACUGGGCGUAAAGCGCACGUAGGCGGAUUGUUAAGUCAGGGGUGAAAUCCUGGAGCUCAACUCCAGAACUGCCUUUGAUACUGGCAAUCUAGAGUCCGGAAGAGGUGAGUGGAACUCCUAGUGUAGAGGUGGAAUUCGUAGAUAUUAGGGAAGAACACCAGUGGCGAAGGCGGCUCACUGGUCCGGUACUGACGCUGAGGUGCGAAAGCGUGGGGAGCAAACAGG